rnacentral:rRNA from 1 species
CGCAGCCGCGGUAAUUCCAGCUCCAAUAGCGUAUAUUAAAGUUGUUGCAGUUAAAAAGCCCGUAGUUGAAUUUCGGGAUUAGUGCGCUGGUCAUGCCUUUGGUAUGUACUGGUGUUACUGAUUUCUACCUUCUGAAGAACCGUUAUGUCAUUUAUUUGGUGUGGCGGGGAAUCAGGACUGUUACUUUGAAAAAAUUAGAGUGUUUAAAGCAGGCUCGCGCUUGAAUACAUUAGCAUGGAAUAAUGAAAUAGGACGUUUGACCCUAUUUUGUUGGUUUCUAGGAUCGACGUAAUGAUUAAUAGGGAUAGUUGGGGGCAUUAGUAUUCAAUUGUCAGAGGUGAAAUUCUUGGAUUUAUUGAAGACUAACUACUGCGAAAGCAUUUGCCAAGGAUGUUUUCAUUAAUCAAGAACGAAAGUUAGGGGAUCGAAGACGAUCAGAUACCGUCGUAGUCUUAACCAUAAACUAUGCCGACUAGGGAUCGGAUGAUGUUAUUUUUAAUGACUCAUUCGGCGCCUUACG